UAGCCGAGAGAGAAUAAAAAAAAAAAACCUAAACUCUACCAAACUUCUAGUUUCGAUUUCUUGCAAUCCGUAACUCCAAUCAAAAAUCUAACCCGAUAAAAGUAUUUGUAUCGUCUUCCUCUACACGUUGGCACCAUUUUUUAUCGGUGAAAAUUGACGGUGACGUAACUUCUCUACUCUUUGAGUUUGGCCAACGAAAGAUUUAGGAGGCACAGACAAUUCUGGACGUUUUCUUCUUCGAUAGCUCGGUCAGAAAGCUUCUCCAGAGCUUUGAAUAUUUUGAUUCCGUACGAAGAUGCAGGUCAAGAGACACCUCGUUGAGCGUCUGGGUAUUCUCCUUACAAGCGAAGAACUACCUUUUUGACUGUCAUAUUUUGAUUUUGGGCUAUGUAUACAUGUUUAUAGAAUCUCCACAUGUACAUUUUGUGUUUUGUCCCUCCUAGAGGUCGACUUGGAGAUACAGGGGUUUACUUCGUGGUUUGACUUUUAUUUUGGGUUGUAUAUAUAUAAUCAUAUACUUUGGCCGGCCUUAGCUUCGCAGGUCAAGUCUGGAGCUUGCUAUCUAAGUUUUGGAACUCUGAUAUGUAUAUAUGUUUUCAGCUUCCUUUUGAUUUUUCCUGUCCGUUUUACAUAUAUCCAUGCGAGUGUGACACGAUUUCCUGUUUAUCGGUUUUGAUUAGCUUAUCCUUCAAGGCUCCUAGAUAUGACUUCAUCCAACUAUAUCUAUGUACAUAUCCUUUUCUUUUAGAAGUCAUAAUACCUUGCCACCUCUGCUUUACGACUUAAGCGUAAGGCCCUGUGUGGUAGGGUGUUACAGCUGCCAUCUCAUGCUGCCUUGCUAGCUCUGCAAAUGACACCCUCCUUUCUCGGGAAGUAGAAAACAGGUUAAGAUAGUUGUUAUCCAUCAUGCAAUGCUGAAAAACUAACACAAAUGGUGUGUGUAUGUAUUUAUGUUUUUCAUAGUGGUGUUCUCCCCACAUUGAUCUAUUUAUAGAGGUAAUAAAUUCU